rnacentral:rRNA from 1 species
GACGAACGCUGGCGGCGUGCUUAACACAUGCAAGUCGAACGGAAAGGCCCUGCUUGCAGGGUGCUCGAGUGGCGAACGGGUGAGUAACACGUGGGUGAUCUGCCCCUUACUUUGGGAUAAGCCUGGGAAACUGGGUCUAAUACUGGAUAGGACCAUGCUGUAGGUGGUGUGGUGGAAAGAUUAGUUUCGGUAAGGGAUGAGCUCGCGGCCUAUCAGCUUGUUGGUGGGGUAAUGGCCUACCAAGGCGUCGACGGGUAGCCGGCCUGAGAGGGUGGACGGCCACAUUGGGACUGAGAUACGGCCCAGACCCCUACGGGAGGCAGCAGUGGGGAAUAUUGCACAAUGGGCGCAAGCCUGAUGCAGCGACGCCGCGUGGGGGAUGACGGCCUUCGGGUUGUAAACGCCUUUCAGCCAUGACGAAGCCCUUGUGGUGACGGUAGUGGGAGAAGAAGCACCGGCUAACUACG